AACGAACACUGGCGGCAGGCUUAACACAUGCAAGUCGAGCGCCCCGCAAGGGGAGCGGCAGACGGGUGAGUAACGCGUGGGAAUCUACCCAUCUCUACGGAAUAACGCAUGGAAACGUGUGCUAAUACCGUAUACGUCCUUCGGGAGAAAGAUUUAUCGGAGAUGGAUGAGCCCGCGUUGGAUUAGCUAGUUGGUGGGGUAAAGGCCUACCAAGGCGACGAUCCAUAGCUGGUCUGAGAGGAUGAUCAGCCACACUGGGACUGAGACACGGCCCAGACUCCUACGUGAGGCAGCAGUGGGGAAUAUUGGACAAGGGGCGCAAGCCUGAUCCAGCCAUGCCGCGUGAGUGAUGAAGGCCCUAGGGUUGUAAAGCUCUUUCACCGGUGAAGAUAAUGACGGUAACCGGAGAAGAAGCCCCGGCUAACUUCGUGCCAGCAGCCGCCGUAAUAC
rnacentral:rRNA from 1 species